AAUAUACCGGUUCUCGUUAGAUCACCGAAGUCAAGCAUCAUUGGGCGCUUGAUUAGUAAUUGGGUGGGUGACCACCUGGGAACACCGCGUGCCGUU